GACCGCAGGGGUGCUCGGGUUAGAUGCCUGUAGGGCGAGGAGAAGUUGAUUUAUCCCCCCCCCCCACCUGUGCUCUGAGCUUGCUUCACACUGCUACCAAGGCUCUGAGACUCAAGGCAAGCUAUGCCAGGGGCUUGGUCUUCUUGCUUCUUGGGGAAUCUCAGCUUAACACACUUGUUGAAGGCCCAUGAGGGUCCCUGUCUCUCACCCAACUUUGAUCUCCUUGGUAGAAAGCACAGGACAUUUCUCGCUCUGAGUCCCGGCCUCAUGUUGUGGCUCUAGAAAGAGCUAUAAAACUUUAAUUCAAUUGAACUAAAAGCAUUAAUAUGAAAUUAACCCUAAAAGUCUCGCCAGUAAUCUCAGACCCUAGAACUUGCUGUUUGUUUGUUGUUGCUAUUUUCUAUAAACUAUAUGCAAAGAAAUCGGAGGAAUCUGCUCUGGGUGGACUUGAAGCGUACAUAUGUGCUUGUGCUCCUGGAGGCAACACCCAGGAGGAAGAUACAAUAGAAAAGAAGCUGGGAAACCAACAGAGUCGCCGGAACGUAGGAGGUUUACCACAUUGGUUAGAAGUUACUGACCCUAAAGUCUUGAUCUCACAUAGGAAGAAGAGACAGCAUCCUUCAGGAGCACACAUGACUUUGAUGACUGGAGUCUACCUGAGGAGGCGUGAUCUCCGGGCCUCCUGUACUCCACCCUGGGGCCUCUUCUGCAUUUAGAGUAGGUUGUCAUUGAGCACAGCCUUCUGGAUGUCUCUCGAAGUUCUUCACAGUCGCCGACUCCAGUGUGACACAAGCAGCCAUGUCAUUCCCAGAGCACAGAAUUCUUCAAUAGAACCUCAAUCCUGAACACAGAGCAGGGCUUGGCAGGCCUCAUGCAGCAGGAUGGGGCAUAGAGGGGCUGACAAAGCACAGCUAAGACCAUGAAUUGAGCCUGGGCUUCUUUCAUUUAACUGGGUAUGUUCUUCAAUCGAAAAUGCAUGAUCUGAUUAUUUUUAUUUAGAUGGGAAGGCAGCCUUGCUUCUUAAAUAGGUUAUUGUCACAGUAUUUUAAAAUGAAGCAUUAGCCAGUAAUUUACUGUGAGUGAAUCCUUAGGGAUAGUUGGGAAUUAAGAGACCCCUCCAGAGCAAAGCUCCUAAAUACUUUGUGCCAGGAUAAUAAGGGUCUUUUAAGAAAUGUUAACAGUUCAGCACCCCAUAACUUUCUAGUGCAGGUAAAUAAGUGUGUGUGUGUGUGUGUGUGUGUGUGUGUGGUGUGUAUAUUUGUGUGUGUUUGUAUGUAUGUGUGUAUAUGCAUGUGUGGUUUUAUGUGCAGUUAUGACUAUAUGUUUGUGUGUUUGUGCAUGUAUGUUUGAUUAUGUGUGUGUACACUUGUUGUGUGUGUUUGUCCAUGUGUGUAUAUGCAUGGGUAUUUGUUUGUAUAUGUUUGUGUGUAAUUAUGCUUGUAUGUUGUGUGAACGUGUGUGUGUGUGUGUGUGUGUGUGUGUGUUUGCUUCAAACAGAAAAGAUCCUGGGCUUUUGCCUCAGGAAGCUUGAGCAGGUGUAAAUGGACUUCACAUACAGAUGUGAGCAUGCAGUUAUCCCUCUGGUGUGCCCAUUAGAAAGCUGCUCUGGCCUCCAGAGUCUUUCCCGGGCCAGACCAGCAGGGCACUGGAGCUCAUGCAGUGACCCCACUGGCCUGACCUCAUGCUCCCACUGGGCUUGCUCUCUCUACUCCAGCCUCCAGCCAUCCCCAUCUCCUGAUCACCUCCCACUUGGACACUUCAUACCACCAUGCAGGGUUGCCUUGGGACAUGGGAAGGCAGUGAGCUGGAAGUAGAAUUGGGCUCUCAGUUCUCAGAGCCUGUCCCCAGUGAUAUGCUCCCUCUAGCAAGGCCACACUAUCCCUCAAACAGCACCACCAACUGGAGACCUAGUGCUCAAAUACACGAGCUUUUGACUAUUUCUCAUUUAAACUGCCAUAAUAGUAUAGAAAAUAUAGAAUAGUAUCUAAAUAUAUGUAAAUAAAAUAAAAUAUGUAAUAAUAUAUGAAAUUAUAUAGUUUACUUGAAUACUUUUGGUAUUUAAAAAAAACACUACUUGAUAAGACUAUUUGAAUAUUUUUCACUUAAAAAAAGAUAAACUGGCCUUCUGGUCUCCACAGCCAGUCCUACAACACCCAGAGGAAGCUCUACUUUUAGGUGUUCUAACAGAUCCAGGAUCUCAGGGCUCCAGAGGUAGCUUGACUCCCAGGAGCCCUAACACAUCCAGGAUCUCAGGAUCACAGGAUCACAGAGACCGAUGAACUCUGAGGAAUUCUGACACAACCAGGAUCACAGGAAGGACAGGCUCCAGUCAGAUAUAGGGAGGGCAGGUAGCACUAGACAUAAUCAGAUGGCAGGAGGCAAGCAUAAGAACAUAAGCAACAGAAACCAAGGUUACUUGGCAUCAUCAGCACCCAAUUCUCCUACCAUAGCGAGUCCCGGAUAUACCAUCACACUGGAAAAGCAAGAUUCGGAUCUAAAAUCACUUCUCAUGAUGAUAAUAGAGGACUUUAUGAAGGCCAUCAAUAACUCCCUUAAAGAAAUACAGAAGAACACAGGUAAACAGCUAGAAGCCCUUAAAGAGGAAACACAAAAAUCCCUUAAAGAAUUACAGGAAAACACAAUCAAACAGGUGAAGGAAAUAAAGAAAGCCACCCAAGAUUUAAAAAUGUAAAGAGAAACAAUAAAGAAAUAACAAAGGGAGACAACUCUGGAGUUAGAAAACCUAGGAAAGAGAUCAGGAGAUGCAAGCAUCAGCAGCAGAAUACAAGAGAUAGAAGAGAGAAUCUCAGGCAGAAGAUACCAUAGAAAACAUUGACAUAACAGUCAAAGAAAAUGCAAAAAGCAAAAAGCUCCUAACCCAAAACAUCCAGGAAAUCCAGGACACAAUGAGAAGACCAAGCCUAAGGACAAUAGGUAUAGAAGAAAGCAAAGAUUUCCAAGUCAAAGAGAAAGUAAAUAUCUUCAACAAAAUUAUAAAAGAAAACCUCCCUAAACAAAAGAAAGAGAUGCCCACGAACAUACAAGAAGCCUACAGAACUCCAAAUAGAUGGACCAGAAAAGAAAUUCCUCCCGUCACAUAAUAAUCAAAACACCAAAUGUGCUAAACAAAGAAAGAAUAUUAAAAGCAGCAAGGGAAAAUGAUCAAGUAACAUAUAAAGGCAGACCUAUCAGAAUUACACCAGACUUCAUCAGAGACUAUGAAAGCCAGAAGAUCCUGGGCAGAUCUCAUACAAACCCUAAGAGAACACAAAUGCCAGCCCAGGCUACUAUACCCAGCCAAACUCUCAAUUACCACAGAUGGAGUAACCAAGAUAUUCCAUGGCAAAACCAAAUUUACACAAUAUCUUUCCAUAAAUCCAGCCCUACAAAGAAUAAUAGAUAGAAAACACUAACACAAGGAGAGAAACUACACCCUAGAAAAAAUUAAGAAGGUAAUCUUUCAACAAACCCAAAAGAAGAUAGCCACACAAACAUGAUUCCACCUCUAACAACAAAAAUAACAGGAAGUAACAAUCAUUUUUCCUUAAUAUCUCUUAACAUCAAUGGACUCGAUUCCCCAAUCAAAAUGCAUAGACUAGGCCGGGUGUGGUGGCGCAUGCCUUUGAUCUCAGCACUCAGGAGGCAGAGGCAGGCAGAUUUCGAGGCCAGCCUGGUCUACAAAGUGAAUUCCAGGUCAGCCAGGGCUAUACAGAGGAACCCUGUCUCAAAAAAAAAAAUGCAUAGACUCACAGAUUAGAUACUUAAAACACGACCCAGCACUUUGCUGCAUACAGGAAACACACCUCAAUGACAAAGACAGACACUACCUCCAAGUAAAAAGUUGGAAAACAAUUUUUCAAGCAAAUUGUCCCAAGAAAUAAGCUGGAGUAGCCAUUCUAACAUCGAAUAAAAUCUACUUUCAACCAAAAGUUAUCAAAAAAGAUAAGGAAGGACACUUCAUAUUCAUCAAAGGUAAAAUUUACCAAGAUAAACUCUCAAUUCUGAACAUCUAUGCUCCAAAUGCAAGGGUGCCCACAUUAAUAAGAGAAACUUUACUAAAGCUCAAAGCACACAUUGCACCCCACACAAUAAUGGUGGGAGACUUCAACACCCUUCUCUCAGCAAUGGACAGAUCAUGGAAUCAGAAACUAAACAGAGAAUCAGUGAAACUAACAGAAGUUAUGAACCAAAUGGAUCUAACAGAUAUUUAUAGAACAUUUCAUCCUAAAGCAAAAGAAUAUACCUUCUUCUCAGCACCUCAUGGUACCUGACCAUAUCAUUGGUCACAAAACAGGCCUCAACAGAUACAAGAAGAUUGAAAUAAUCCCAUGUACCCUAUCAGAUCACCACAGACUAAGGCUGGUUUUAAAUACAAACAAAAACAACAGAAAGCACACAUACACAUGGAAGCUGAACAAUGCUCUACUCAAUGAUAACUUGGUCAAGGAAGAAAUAAAGAAAGAAAUUAAUGGCUUUUUAGAAUUUAAUGAAAAUGAAGACACAAUAUACCAAAACUUAUGGGACACAAUGAAAGCAGUGGUAAGAGGAAAACUCAUAGCUCUAAGUGCCUCCAAAAAGAAACUGAAGAGAGCUUACACUAGCAGCUUGACAGCACACCUGAAAGCUCUAGAACAAAAAGAAGCAAAUACAUCCAAGAGGAGUAAAUAGCAGGAAAUAAUCAAACUCAGGGCUGAAAUCAACCAAACAGAAGCACAAAGAACUAUGCAAAGAAUCAACAAAGCCAGGAGCUGGUUCUUUGAGAAAAAUCAACAAGAUAGAUAUACCCUUAGUCAGACUAGCUAGAGGGCACAGAGACAGUAUCUAAAUCAGAAAUGAAAAGGGAGAGAUUACAAUGAAAUAUAUCUUAAAAUAAUUAUUGUUUGUUGACUAUUAACAGUGGAAAAUAUUAAAAUUAUGUUCUACAAAAAAUUAAACUGAUUUAAAGGUUUGGGGGUAGGCUGCAGAGAAGUCAAAACCCAGUAUUUUCUAAAGAGUUCUGAAGCAAAAGUGAAGAAGAAAGAGUGUGAAUAGAUAGUGGCAGAGGGUAGAAAGAAAUUCAGGUGAAAGAGAGUGGUAGAGAUUAUUCCAAGUUAUAGUCCACUACUUUGGGAAGUACCAGCCAGAACCUGAAUCAGGGGACCACAUCACAUCCACAGUCAAGAGGAGAAGGAGACGUGAAUACACGCUCACUUGCUCGCUUGCUCGCUUACUUAUGAUCAACUCAAUGUCUCCAGUCCUAGGAGACCUAGAGAAUGGUGCUUCCCACAGUGAACUGGGUCUUCAUUUGUCAAUUAACUUAAUUAACACUGUGUGCAAGCCCCACCUGUCCCUGACAGAUAACUUCAUGUAUUGCUGAGGACUAUUGUUCACAUAAGAUAAGAAGCCCAAUGUUUUCACUUCUGCACACGAGGUCCCUUGUCCCAACUGCACAGGAUAUAGAUGAGAGGAAUGUGUAGGUAAGAAGUUCACUGGGUUGUGUGCUUGCCUCUGUUAGACAAAGGUGGGAAGUACCAUAGCCUUGGAUUUGGCUUUUAUGGGCAACUGGCUGACCUAAUUCAGUGCCAUUCUCUGAGAGUCCUGUAUAUGGACCUGACUAGUAUCCAUCUCUCUGGCCAGUAUUAAAUAAAGCUUACUUCAAUUAGACAAUUGAGGAUUUGGUCUUUCUCCUUGAAAUUUUCAGGUUUACUAAUUCCUCCAAACACAUUCUCACCAGCUAAUCCAGGGUUGACAAUCCCUUCUCCAGACUCACUUUCCAGGAGGUUCUAGAUUGUCUCAAGUUGACUAGUGAAGCUGACCAUUUCUUCUGCCAUAUACAAAGCCCCUGGUUCAAUCCCCGGCAUCACCAAAAGAAUAGCAAUGAAGGAAGUAAAAAUGAUGGAGGGCAAGAGACUGUGCACACACAGGGCUGCUGAAGCUGUGUGGCUUCUGCAGGAGGGUAGGAUUGCAAAUGGAAAGAUGGAUGCUUGUAUCCUAAACGAUGCUUGUGUGCAGUAGUCUCAUUGGGUGGCUUGGCAGAUGUUCUCUGUGGCUAUGCGCUCCCUGCCUUUGAUCUCCCAUACUCCAAGAAUCAGAAAGAAAUGCUCUUUGUGAGUGAAUAUGAGAUUUCUUUGGGCACAGUGGCUGAGAGGGGAGGGCAAAGGAACAAACAGUGCAGGGACACCAAGCCACCAUACAGGUCUCCACAGGCAGGUAGAUCACAGAGAAAUCUUUUGUGGCCUCUGAGCUCUGGUCACCUAUGUCUAUGGGACAGAGUGAUCAGGGUAGACUAUCAGUGGUGCUGGGAUAACACACUUAAACCCAGCAACAUGGGCACUGUCAUACACUGAUAAAAUAGGAUGUUCUAGAAAAUGAACGGCAGCUUGUGCCCCUCACUAAAACUCCCUUUCACGUUGGUUAUACAUUCCAAAGAUGUUGGAGAGCAUGAAGAAGCUCUCUUCUUUACCAUCUGAGAAUGUUUCACCACAAUUCCCAUUCUGUCUUUUAUUCAUCGGUCACCUUACUCUGGUUAAUAUUCCUUCAUCUUUUCCCAGUUAUUUUGCACUUCAACAUUUUUGGACACCUCUGGAAUUUGCACGUUCUAGGUGAUUUUUCUUCCAAUGAUGAUUCUCUUUAGCUCCAUGUCACGUCACUAGGACUUUGAUUGCAUUAGAAUGAGUUCUGGUUGGAGUUGCUCCUAUUAUCUGUAUCUGCCUGAAGAGAUCUGUUUUCUUCCUUUUGUUAACAUUCUCUCUCCUUUCCUGUCAUCUUUGAUCAGUUGACUGUUUUAUUCAUCCUAUUUCUCUUUCAAUUAUUUUGGAGGCGAUGCAUGACAGCUUUUAUUCAUUAAAAAAAAUUAAGUAUUGUGAUAAUUUGUAAAUGCUUGGGCCACGGAGUGGUACUAUUAGGAGGUGUGGCCCUGGUGGAGUAGGUGUAUCACUGUGGGUGUGGGCUUUAAGCUGCCUGGAUGUCAGUAUUCUGCUAACAGCCUUCAGAUGAAGAUAUAGCUUUGCCUGUACCACAUCUGCCUGGAUGCUGCCAUUCUCCCACAUUGAUGAUAAUGGACUGACCCUCUGAACCUGUAAGCCAGCCCCAACUAAAUGUUGUUCUU